rnacentral:rRNA from 1 species
UCUAAGGUUUCCAGAGUAAAGCUGAUCUGCUCUGGGUAAGUCGGGGCCUAAGCACAGGUCGCAAGACGUAAGCGAUGGAUAACAGGUUUAGAUUCCUGUACCACGCAUUAUCAGAACUGUAGGGACGCAUGUGGAAAGCACGGGCCGGGAAUGGAAAAACCGGUACAAGCGGGGUAGGUGUACAAUAGGCAAAUCCGUUGUAUAAUCCGAAGACGUGAUGUGGAGCGAAAUAAAGUAGCAAAGCGUGUGAGCCAUGUGCCGAGAAAAGCUGCUAUUGUGUAAUGCGUGCCCGUACCGUAAACCGACACAGGUGGAUGAGGAGAGAAUCCUAAGGCCGGCGGAAGAAGCAUUGUUAAGGAAUUCGGCAAAAUGACCCCGUAACUUCGGGAGAAGGGGUGCCUGCGAGAGCAGGCCGCAGAGAAUAGGCUCAAGCAACUGUUUAGCAAAAACACAGGUCUAUGCGAAACCGAAAGGUGAAGUAUAUGGGCUGACGCCUGCCCGGUGCUGGAAGGUUAAGAGGAGAGGUUAGCGCAAGCGAAGCUUUGAAUUUAAGCCCCAGUAAACGGCGGCCGUAACUAUAACGGUCCUAAGGUAGCGAAAUUCCUUGUCGGGUAAGUUCCGACCCGCACGAAAGGCGUAAUGAUUUGAGCGCUGUCUCGACAAUGCAUCCGGUGAAAUUGAAGUACCAGUGAAGAUGCUGGUUACCCGCGCCAGGACGGAAAGACCCCAUGGAGCUUUACUCCAGUUUGAUACUGGGAUUCGGUACUGCAUGUACAGGAUAGGUGGGAGACGGAGAAGGAUGGACGCCAGUCUGUCCGGAGUCGCUGUUGGGAUACCACCCCUGUAGUACUGGGUUUCUAACCAGUUGCCAUGAACUGGCAAUGGGACAAUGUCAGGCGGGGAGUUUGACUGGGGCGGUCGCCUCCGAAAGGGUAUCGGAGGCGCUCAAAGGUUCCCUCAGAAUGGUCGGAAACCAUUCGAAGAGUGCAAAGGCAGAAGGGAGCUUGACUGCGACACCGACGGGUGGAGCAGGUACGAAAGUAGGACUUAGUGAUCCGGUGGUAUAAAGUGGGAUUGCCAUCGCUCAACGGAUAAAAGCUACCCUGGGGAUAACAGGCUUAUCACUCCCAAGAGUUCACAUCGACGGAGUGGUUUGGCACCUCGAUGUCGGCUCAUCGCAUCCUGGGGCUGUAGUAGGUCCCAAGGGUUGGGCUGUUCGCCCAUUAAAGCGGUACGCGAGCUGGGUUCAGAACGUCGUGAGACAGUUCGGUCCCUAUCCGGCGCGGGCGGAGGAUAUUUGAGAGGAGCUGUCCUUAGUACGAGAGGACCGGGAUGGACGGACCGCUGGUGUAUCUGUUGUACUGCCAAGUGCAUAGCAGAGUAGCCAAGUCUGGAAGGGAUAAACGCUGAAGGCAUCUAAGCGUGAAGCCCCCCUCAAGAUGAGAUAUCCCUCCUUCGGGAGUAAGACCCCUUGAAGACUACAAGGUAGAUAGGGCAGAGGUGGAAGCAUGGCAACAUGUGGAGCUGACUGUUACUAAUAGGUCGAGGGCUUAAUCU